UCUCCGUUGGUGAACCAGCGGAGGGAUCAUUACCGAGUUUACAACUCCCAAACCCAAUGUGAACGUUACCAAACUGUUGCCUCGGCGGGAUCUCUGCCCCGGGCGCGUCGCAGCCCCGGACCAAGGCGCCCGCCGGAGGAAAAACAACCAAAACUCUUUUGUAUACCCCCUCGCGGGUUUUUUAAAUACUUUCUGAGCCUUCUCGGCGCCCCUAGCGGGCGUUUCGAAAAUGAAUCAAAACUUUCAACAACGGAUCUCUUGGUUCUG
rnacentral:misc_RNA from 1 species